rnacentral:rRNA from 1 species
CCUACGGGAGGCAGCAGUGGGGAAUAUUGCGCAAUGGGCGAAAGCCUGACGCAGCGACGCCGCGUGAGGGAUGAAGGUCUUCGGAUCGUAAACCUCUGUCAGCAGGGAAGAACGGUCACUGUGCUAAUCAGCAGUGAAUUGACGGUACCUGCAAAGGCAGCACCGGCUAACUCCGUGCCAGCAGCCGCGGUAAUACGGCGGGUGCGAGCGUUAAUGGGAAAUACUGGGCGUAAAGCGCUCGUAGGCGGUAUGUCAAGUCAAGGGUGAAAUCCCCGCGCUCAACGUGGGAACUGCCUUUGAAACUGGCAGACGGGAGUGUGGGAGAGGAGAGUGGAAUUCCAGGUGUAGGAGUGAAAUCCGUAGAUAUCUGGAGGAACAUCAGUGGCGAAGGCGACUAACUGGCACAUAACUGACGCUGAGGAGCGAAAGCGUGGGUAGCAAACAGGAUUAGAUACCCUUGUAGUC